rnacentral:tRNA from 1 species
CAAGCCGUAGCUAAAAUGUAAAGCACCUCCCUUACACCGAGGAGACGCCCGUUCAAGUCGAGCCAGCUUGA